rnacentral:rRNA from 1 species
GACGAACGCUGGCGGCGUGCUUAACACAUGCAAGUCGAACGGAAAGGCCCUGCUUUUGUGGGGUGCUCGAGUGGCGAACGGGUGAGUAACACGUGAGUAACCUGCCCUUGACUUUGGGAUAACUUCAGGAAACUGGGGCUAAUACCGGAUAGGAGCUCCUGCUGCAUGGUGGGGGUUGGAAAGUUUCGGCGGUUGGGGAUGGACUCGCGGCUUAUCAGCUUGUUGGUGGGGUAGUGGCUUACCAAGGCUUUGACGGGUAGCCGGCCUGAGAGGGUGACCGGCCACAUUGGGACUGAGAUACGGCCCAGACUCCUACGGGAGGCAGCAGUGGAGAAUAUUGCACAGUGGGCGGGAGCCUGAUGCAGCAACGCCGCGUGCGGGAUGACGGCCUUCGGGUUGUAAACCGCUUUCGCCUGUGACGAAGCGUGAGUGACGGUAAUGGGUAAAGAAGCACCGGCUAACUACGUG